GGCCUGGUCAAGAGGUCCGCCAUCUGUCAUUGCGCCGGGUCUCCUUUGGUGAGUGUGCAUUAGGAAACCAAGACUAUUAAAGCGGACAAUUGCUUGAAUGCAUUAGUAUGGAAUAAUGAAAUAGGACGGGCAGUUCUAUUUUGUUGGUUAUGAGGUCACCGUA
rnacentral:rRNA from 1 species